CAUGAAAACAUCACACAUUGAGGUGAGAUGUCUUGCCCUCUUCUUCCUGAAUUGCAAGUUUCAGUAGUAUGUGUGAAAGCUUGCACAACCUCAUCAAUGUUCCAGACACAUCCUAAUUUCUAUACAAGCUAUUUUAUUUUAUUUACAAUUUAUAAGUCAUUGUUUACAUUCACACCGAACUUUGUAGUUUUUCAGGUGGUAACCGACUAAAUGUUUGGAAUUUUUAAGUUGUUACCGUUAAGUUUAAGAUGUUUGCACUUUUUAAAUACAUUUAUGAAAGGAAAAUAUUCUUGAAAUAUUUUCAUGUUUUUUUCCCUUUGUUUGAUUAGGAAUCCUGCAAGUAUCGGUGUUUUCACUUUUGUGGUUUGUGACUAUUUGGUAAUAGUCAGGAUAAGAUUUUUUUUAUUUUUUUAUUUUUUUAUUAAUGCUUGUUUUUGACACCUCUCAAGACUGUAUACUGAUUGACUGACUGUGUUAUAUAUUAUAUUGACAUAUAUUUGUUUAUAAGGUAUUACUGGAAAGGGGAGAUUCAAGAUUCUUCCGAAAUCCUGCUGCUGGUGAGGACUAGAACUUCUAUGAUUCCUCGACUCACUGAUUUAAUAAAAACCGUACAUCCAUACCAAACUCCAGAAAUCCUCAGUUUACCCAUUCAAGAUGGAAGUCUUUCCUACAUGAAAUGGAUAGAUGAUGCAGUUCCAAAUGUAUGACCCAUAUCAUCGCCCUGUUGUCAAAUGAAAGCGCGUUCCUAUUGGCUACAGAACAUUUAUAUAUUAUUUUUUAUAGAUGGUGCUAUUUCAUGGGAUAUUUGUCAAGGGGACAUGGACUGGUUAUAUUUCAAUGAUGAAUAAAAACUAGGGCUGUCAAAACACGUUAAUGCUUAUUAACUUAAACAGAAAUUCUUGACCAUUUUUCUUAAAAAUAUUAAUAAAUAAGUAUAAAAGAGGCGAAAUUAAAACCUUCAACGUAACACACAUUUAUUCCUGACAUCCUUUCUUUACUCAGAUAUAAAAAAAAAGCAUAAAAAUCUUUUUUGGCUGUUCACAUUCUUAGUAGAACAUUGCUAUUUACUAUGUUAAUUGCUCAUAGACUUAUAUUCCUAUUCCCAAACCAAAAUCCGCCAUUAUGCACACGUCCAGCAUUUAAAACAAUCCAAGUGAAAAACAACCCAAAUUCCCGUUUGCUCUCCUGAUGAUUUACGUAUUUUAAAACACCAUAUUUACAAGAAUAUUUUGUCUUCAUGCUCUGUGUUGCGUCAGGUUUCACUAAUAAUAAACAUACAUUUGCAUAAAGCAUCCAUAUUUCUUUAUGCCCAUGUUGAUUAGAGUAAUAAAAACUUAAGAAGUAUUAAUUUAACGUACGUUUAAAACAGUUUAAAAAAUAGUGAGAUCAAGUAGCGAUUUGUCACGAGUCAACUCAUGACGAUCAUGCGAUUAAUCGCGAUUAAAUAUUUGUAUCUAUUGACAGCCCUAAUUAAAACAUCACCAAAUGGAUGCAGAUUAGUGCUGAUAUUUGUAAGAUAACAGGUUUAAAUGUUCACAUUUUCAGCUGCCCAGUGGCUUGGCAUGAACAGCCAUUUGAAAGGACAUGUCUUAAAGGAAGACAGGUCAGGACAUUUUUGGAUUUCUGUAUGUAGAGUAUCAUGAACUUUGAUUAGCUGCUGGUCAGGUGGGGUUUAAAAAAAAAAAGAGUUAAAUGGCACAUGAUCUUACUGAGACUGUUUUUUGCUUCAAUCACCAAAGUUUAUAUGAACAAAAUACACUUGCCUUUGCUCAAAGUGACCUUGUAACAAUAUGACAUCAGUGUGUGAUCAGUCGUUUUUUUUACACUGAAUUAACAAAACACAUACUGAGAAACACUUAUAAUGUAACUAACUUCCCACUUUAUUCAGCUAUAGUUAUCUUGACAAGAGUUUUGAUAGAGAACAAAUAAAUGUCCAGCAAAAAUAGCGAUAAAACUUCCCUACUUUAGUCCUUAUAUGAACUUUAUCUCUGCAAACAUGCUAGGAGAUUUUCAGAGAGUGCAUAACAGCUUGUGACUAUAAUCAAAGAUACAUGGUUAGGCCAACACUUUUAUAGGCUAAUAGCUGAGUGGCAAUGUUCUUGCUAUUAUGCUGUGUAAAAAGAGGGUUACUUAUGAACAGAUCCAUGAAGUUAGAGAGCAGGGUUUAACUUACUGUAAGCACCAUGAACCAUGUCUCCUACAAUAACAUAGGACUACAGUCCAUAUAAAAUGUUUUUGCAUCCAUGCAUUAUUCAGUGAAUAGUGUUUCAGCGUUUCAUGCAUAUUCUUGCAACCACAGGGUUGCAGUUCAAAAGGUUCAGCUUGUGCCCCCAGCCAGGAACCUUGUGAAAUAACCACAUGUCUUGCACACUUUGCAACCUCAUGGUGAACAGAAAGAGAAGUUCCUGAGACAGGUUGCACAGAAAAAUGCUACCAUGAAACCAACUAUAUAAGUAUAGGAAUUCUGAUGAGUAAAUCGCAGAGAUGUAAAUAUUUUUAUGCAUUUCAGUCUUCAGUUCUGCUGAAGGUACAAUGAUUAGAGCAGUGGAUUCUGCUGAACGUGUUUCCAGAAAGACGGUGGUCUUUUUAAGCCCUUUCCUUUGUAAUUGAGUCAUAUUAGGGGUCAAUGCAAUGUGCCUGUUUAUGGACUCAUCACUCAGGAACAUCUCUGCUUUUGAGGACCGAUAUUCCACUAUCGUCUUUGCUUGGGCAGAGGGUUUAGACAAACAUCUAUGGUCAUACUUCUGAUCAGUGUAGACAAUAGGAUGCACCACGGGGUAGCUUGAUUCAAUGGGGCUGAAUGUCACCCUGCAGAUAUUAUAGUGCCUUAACAGCUAAGAAGUCUCCUAUGAGUGGCUCCAGUUGCUUUUUAUAAAGCAUGGGAUUUAUAAAUGUUCAUAUUUAUUUGUGAAUAAUUGUUAAUCAUUGUACUAAACUGAUUUACUAUCUUUCUGUUUCCUUUAUUUUCUGUCGUUUUUUUUUCUGUUGUAUUACUAUAAGUUCCUAAUGGCAAGAUAUUGCACACACGUUAAUCCUCGGACUGUAGCAAAACAUCUUUUAUGUAAUACAAAUCUGCAUACUUUGUAUUUAAACAUACCAAAGUUUCUGGCUUGUAUGACACGAUACAAAAAUACAUCAGAUUUACAUUUAGAUUUACAUUUGCGGCAUUUAGCAAACGCCUUUGUCUAGAGCGACGUACAAAAGUGCUUUGAGUCUCUAGCAAUGAAUAAAUCUACACUGGUAUGAUUACAAAUUUAAGAUAAAUCAGACUACAACAAUCUUGGAAAGUGCUAAUUUAAGUGUUUUAGGAAGAGGACAGUUAGCAACUGUCAGAUAUAGAACACAGUUGAAAUGACCAUGAGCAAUAUACUUACUUAGCAAUAUACUGUACAGGCUGGAAACUGGUACUGUAUGUCUAACCAUAUUGUCAAUUACAGGAAAAUAUGUGUUGAAUAUAAUGUGUAAUAUGUGAACACGACUGCAUACAAAUGCUGUUCAUCCUGUGUCUUUUUGUUAACGUUAUUAUAACUAUUCUGUUCUGUUGGUCUCUUCUGAAUUUCUUGCAUCAUCAGGUCACCUGACAUUAGGGUGUUGUGGUCUAGCAGUCUUUGGGAAACCUGGUAGUGAUACAAGUGAAAUCUUGUUUAGCCGCUAGUCAGCUCGGCCUCACGGCAUUUUGAGAUUGUAGUCACAACGUGUUCUCUAUUGAUUCGUGCUCAUAGACACGAAUUUCUCUCGCUUUCUGUUUUUGGCGUCUCCGCCAAAGUUUUCUUUCUGCCCCUGAAUCCCACAGACGCAGUAUUGUUUUUGUUUCCCAUUUUUUAUUGAUUUUUUUUUUAUAAACUUUAUGCACCAUUACUCAACAUUUAAGCAGGAGAUUUUAUCCUUGUUUUUAUUGCUUUAUAUUCAGUAAGCUCCAGUCAAAAUACAGUAAAUAGAUUCUCCCGGUUGAUUAAGAAGACUGUGCUAAAUAGAGACACACAAUUAUUACAGUACAACCCACACCCUUACCCUAACCGUAUAUAUUCCGACUUAUUCUCUGAUAAAAGUAGGGGGAAAAAAAAAUACCUUUUAUUUACCCAUAAGCCUUUGGCGUCGCUUUCGGAGACGGAGCCAGACGAAGGCGGCCGUGCUGAGUGACAUGAAAGAAGAGGGAAAUCCGUGUCCAUGAAGACGAAUCAAUAGAUUGAAGUUCAGCGCUGUAUCACCAAAAAUCAUGAGACUGUGUUGGCUAGUGUGUGCCUGCAACAAAAUAUCUCCAGAAAAGAUAUAGUGCAAUUGUUGCUAAUUAUUUUGUCUCCUGUUUUCCUGAAUUUAAACAAUAAAUAUACACACUCAGCUCCACAA